AAAGAUGAAAACAUCUUAUAAUUUCAUUACUAAUGAGAGAACUUUCUAACCAUAUUCAUUAUGUCAAGCAACCCAUAAGCGAUAUAAUGAAUAUAGAAGCAAAAUUGCCGAAGUAUCUACUUGGGUGCACUUGAUAACUUUAUUCAAAAGAGGCAUGUUCGGUUGGAAACAUUACUUAGGUCGAGACAUUGUGUCAUGGGGAAUGGUUUUUUGAUGAGGUUUCAUUAUUUUCCUUGACGAUACACUUUAGUGUUAAUUUGUGAAUCAGGCUGUAGGUUAAAUUCUCUAAUGAAUUAGCAUUUAUGAGCAUGAGACUUGGGAGAAAUAGAAGUAAAAAACUGCUUGAAGUUUGAACGCUUGGAUUCUUACACUCUGCCAUCAGAUGAAGUACAUGUAAACUGAAAUAAGACAAGAUCCAAUAUAUUCUUUAAAAAAAAUAAGAUAAUAUUUCUCUUACCAUAAGAUGGCAACUUUAAAUCUCUGAAGAGAUUAUUGAGCAUUGAUCUAUAAUUUAUGUAACCCUAAUGUUGCGUUUAUAUCCUGUGGCCAUCCAAUUGACUGGCUACUUUGCCGUUAUUUUGUGGCUACUUCAUUCAAAAGCCAGUGCCACAGCGGACUGAAGCCGAGGCUACCACCUUAAUUGCCAAGGUCAGUUUAUGUAGGAUUGCAGAGAGAAGAAGCUACGUGGCACAAUCGAUUUCUUGAUGAAGUCCAGUUUGCGCCGUUGAGCAUUGACCAAAGACCAGAACUCCUCGCAUACGGCUUGGAUCGCAGGUUGAUUCUUAGAUACCAUGUCCUACGGAUUCUGAAGCUGACUUAGUUGCCCAUGGGAGGACGGGACUUUUAUAAUGUUGUCAUAUUAAAUGAAGACAAGUAUCUAUAUAAAUUUUUCCUUUGGUGAAGAUCCCAUA
rnacentral:lncRNA from 1 species